ensembl:lncRNA
CUUUUAAAGAUUUUAUUUAUUUGAGAGCGAGGGGGGAGCAUGAGCAGGGGGAGGGGCAGAGGGAGAGGGACAAGCAGGGGAGCCUGACACGGGGCUCGAUCUCAGGACCCCCCAGAUCAUGACCUGAGCCGAAGUCAGACUCUUAACCGACUGAGUUACCCAGGCACCCCAAGAAGUUUCUUUAGGAAUCAGUGCAUCUACGUCAUUUUGCCUGGUAGCCAGAGGCUGCUGGAGAAUGUGGAGCCCCUCAUCUCCUCUGGGAGCAGCCCUCUGCUGACGGUGGGUGUUGGUGAAUAAAUGCCCCGGCUCCCUGCCCUGCAGUUGGGACGAUUCUGAGUUAUGGGCUCUACAUGGACUGAGCAGAGUUUGCCACGGGAUUAGGCUCUGCUUGCCCACAGUGCCAACUUGCCUGUUAACACCAUUGAUUUCCACCUUCUCCAUUCUCCUGCUACUGCUUCCAGGAAUCAGCUCCCAAAACAAGCACAGUUGACCCUUGAACAACAUGGGGGGAUUAGGGGCAGUGGGAAAAUCCACAUAUAACUUUUGACUCCCCCAAAACUUAACUGCCAAUAGCCUACUGUUGACCAGAAGCCUUCCCGAGAACAUAAACAGUCAAUGAACACCUAUUUUGUAUGUGCUACGCAUUCUGUACUGUGUUUUUGCCAUAUCCACUGGAGAGAAGAAAACGUGGUUCAGAAAAUCAUAAGGAAAAUACAUUUCCAGUACCGUAGUGUAUUUGUUGGAAAAGAAUUCUCACGUAAGUGGACCUGUGCAUUUCCAACCCAUGUUGUUUGAGGGUUGACUGUACUUGUAUUUGUAUCUUGUCUUGGGAUCUGCUUCUGGGGGAACCCGAACCAGAUGUGAGGACAUGGCAUGUUGCAGUUGGGCCGGAGGUUCCUCAUCUGAUUUUCCUGCCAUUAAAUCUGGAGAAAGCAGAAUGAGCACUCAAACCUGCGCAAGCAAUUCUUUCUCCUCGACUUCUGCUCACCAUCUCCCUGCCCCCCGCCACCCCCACUUUACUUCUCUGCUGGACCAUUUUUUAGCGACUGUGGCUGCCAGACUUGGGAGAUGGAUGGGCUUGGGGAGCUGAAGGGUGCCUCGGAGGAGGACCAGGACCAGGCAGAGCCCCAGGACAGUAAGCGACAUUUGGGGACUAUUCAUAAAUGCUUCUCUGCAGAGGUCUCCUCUCUUCCGUUUGCUUGCUGGGUUGUCAGUGAGUCCAUCUGCGUCGCUGUCAGGGUUUUAGUCUGAUGAAGGGUUUCCAGACAGAUCCAAGCUGUCAAUUUGGGGGGAGCUUCUGAUUGGCUUUUGUUACCGGUUUCUCAUAAUACCAAGUUCACGGGGGCGAAAUGAGUGUGAAGAAGAAGAGGGCAAAGGCAGGGCAUUCAGGAGGAAGUGUGGAGGUGUGGGGAGGGGCCUGUGUGUCCCGGUUCUCAAGGGACCCCUCCUGGGCACUCGGUGACCUGUGCUGUCUCCCCUCAGGUAGGGAUUCCACAGCUGGGUGGUUCUAAGCCACCAGGUGCAUGAAAGGCCACGGGAUGCUGGUCCUACUGCUGCAUGGUGAGUUCCAAGGCCCGUUCCUUCUGACCCCCAGCAGACAGCUGCCAGUGGGUGCAGGGGUUGGGCAGCCCAUAGAAGAUUCUAGAAGAUGCAUGGAAACUGCAGGGCUUCUACCCAAGGAGCUUGGUCUUCAAGUGGCUUUUAUGAAAGCUGUACAUGGACACCAGUUUUGAUUAGGUUUCACUGAACUGUAAUUAUGGGGGAGGGAAUGAAGGAUGAGAGAAAACAGAACAGGUGGUGGGUUUGGCUUGUUUGCUUGUUUGUUGAAAAAGAGAAUUCCUGAGCCAAAUAUAUGAAAUAACCCUUUGGCGAUUUUCUUAUUCUAAUUUCAGAUAGGAAUUCAUUUUCUUAUUCUAAUUUCAGAUAUGAAUUCAUUGGUGUAAUCACCAAAAACUACAGUGGUCAUAUUACUUUAA